ACGGAGAAGGCUAGGUGGGCCUCGCGACGGUUGUCGAGGUUCAAGUGCGUAGGCUGGUGUCUUAGGUAAAUCCGGGACGCCCUCUUUAAGUAGAGAAGGCUGAGACACGAUGUCGAGCUACUACGGUAGUGAAGUCAUUGAUGCCAUGCUUCCGGGAAAAGCCUCUAAGCUUCAGGUUAUAAGGAAUCGUACCCCAAACCGACACAGGUGGUCGGGUAGAGAAUACCAAGGCG
rnacentral:rRNA from 1 species